AUAUACUUCCCAAGAUUGCUGAGAGAGAACUUCGGAGGUUUUCAUACCUUCGCUCUGCAUCGUCAGCAGUAGGAAUAAAGCCCUUGUUGAGUGAGAUUCCAGUACCAUGGCUUAGUAUCUACAUUUGUAAAGCAGAGAAGUUCAUGGGAAAGAAUGUUAUGAGGUUUGAUGGAGAAAUAUAGAUGGGCUCCAAGUUUUAGUUGCUCCUGGGGAUCUUGUUAGAAGAUCUGCACAGGAGCAUCGGGUGUGUGGGGCAACCAAGCUAAGGUUGGAGGCUAGGGGAGUAGGAGGGAGAGCAACGGCUUGGUCAUGACUAUGGUGACGACAGUGACCCAUCGCGGUAGCUGUGCCAAGAUCAUGACAAGGUUUGUUUGUGCAUAGAAGACAGCUGCAAAACAAGGUUUAAAUUCAACAACUUUACCACAUCAAAUUGAAGCUGGCUCAUAUGGAUCAGGGUCUCCAGCAUGCUCACUCCUUGAAACAUGCUUUGAGGAGCACCAGGUGGAAACAUCAGCACAUGUAUACUUCAUAAAGCAAUACUCAGUAAACUACAUAUAACGUUGCUCAUGGAUAAUAUGGAAGUCAAGAUUCAGAUUCAGCCUGCAGAAGGUGAUUCAACCAUCAUGCUUCUUCUCAGGUUGAUAGGCGACCACUGAUAACCUAACAAAUGGAUGUAAACAAUUUGUGGCAAGCAAUAUGGUGUAGCUAAUGUACAUCUUCCACUUCUAGAAGGCACAUAUAGUUCCCAUUUUGGGUAUGAAAGUAAAAGGUA